CAAGAAGUAGUUUAAAUAAAAUAUUAACAUUGGAAGUUAGAGAUUAAGUGAAACUUAUUUCUUGA
rnacentral:tRNA from 1 species